GGGUGGGGGAGGACCGGGAAGGAGAGGGCGCCCUGCUCUGCCCUUGGGCUGCGCCUCUGUGAGCCAGAGCACGGGAGAGGCAGGAAUUCCCUCUCCUGCCACCACCAUAAAAUGCGGGAAUGUUUCUGGAUGGCUGCGAGGAGUCCUGCCUGGCCCUCAGGAGUCACCCUUUGUACGGCCCCCCGGCUCAUCACGCUCCCCGCCGGCGCGGGCAGCCCCGACGCACGGGAAUGCCCCUGCGGGGCCGCGCAGCUCCUUAAGUAGCAGCGUGCGGCAGCGGCCCCGGCCCGCGUUCUGCUGUCUUCCCGGGACUCCUGCGGCGGGCGUGACGCCAGCCAUGCCGAAGGCAGCCCCGCUCCUCCUAGCCUUGCUGGCCCCGCUGCUGGCCUUCCCCACCAGAGCACCAGAUUUCACCAGAUCUUAUACAGAGAAAGCAGCAGCAAAGAUAGUUGAUGUCAGCUCUUCUGUGAAAGAAACGACUACAGAAAAGAGGGCUUUCCUGGGUAUCACUGCCUUUAUCAAUGAAGACUUCACCAUAAAGACAACACGUGGAAUGAGCAUCAGUGGAAGCAGAGGCAGGAGUGAAUACAGUGAGCCCAGCAUCAUCUCCACAGAGCAAUAUAUGUUCAACAGAACACAUUUCUAUGCCUGGAGGCCGUAGUUGCAGGAAGAGGAUAUUUCUGGAGACAAGGGAACUAAGCCGUGUAAUAGUGAUAGCAGGUACUUAGAAAGAAAUCAGAGUGAAAAGAAUUUAUCAGUGGAACUGAUUCUGUAGUAAUGCCCUUAGUGAUAGAAAGGAGGCUGUCAUGUAAGGAAACCAAACAUAAAGUAACAAGCAAAUGAUACCUCAGGAAAUAUGAUUCCAUUCAACUAACUCUGAUCAGUUCUGACACUUGGAAUAUCAGACUGUGCAAUUGUAUAAAUACAACAGGAAGUCCACCACUGGUGGCAUUUUAAAUGAGAAUGAAUGAGGCCCUGUAGGGAGCAACUCUGAACUGAGGGAUCUGUUAAAGGGAAGAUCGUUUAGGUAUGAUUGCACUGACCAUGAGGUAAUUUUGCCACAUCACUUUCAGGCACUGAGAUAUUUUCUACUUCCUCUCAGCGCAAUUGCUGUUCCUAACAUUAAGGUAUAACUAGGGGAGACUUUCAGAAAUACAAGAUUGAAGUUAUUGCUGUGACCUGUUGUUGCUGAGCUCUGGUUUAGGACCAUAUUGGCUGUGCUGCAGAAGUCCAGCUGUUCCAAAUUAUAUCACUCACACUGACUGAUUUUAAGAACAUUUGAGAAUGUUGUAAUUAUCUGAGGAGCUAGUUGGUCAUAUCACUGUGCUGUGGUGACAGGGCACAUGCAGGUCAUUGGGUCUUGUUGAAAAGUUUGUUUUGCUACUUUCAGGCUCUAAAGCAUUGCUGCUUUAUAGGAAAGAACACUGAGGCUGGAGUUAGAGCAUGAGCAUUGGUGGAUGGGGUUAUAGGAUUGUCAGAAGCUUAAGUAUAGGAUGAGUCAGCAUAGAAGUGUCAUCAGAUAAAAAUUAGCUCUAGGACAUAGCAGGGUUUGAUAGUUACCAAACAGAUCAUUGCAUGGCACUCGCAUGCAGGGAAGUUCUGAAAUUCCUAGUCU
rnacentral:lncRNA from 1 species